rnacentral:rRNA from 1 species
UCAGACCGGAGCAAUCCAGGUCAGUUUCUAUCUAUAUAUGAGUUUCUUCUAGUACGAAAGGACCGAAGAAACGCGGCCUAUAUUUUUACAAGCCACAGCUAUCAAAUUAUGAUUUAAACUCAAUAAUAAAAUAGCCUAUUAAUUCUCUCAAGACAAGAGCU